rnacentral:ribozyme from 16 species
AUCCAUUUCUCUCUUUUUUCUUUUUUUUUUUUUCAUGUCGUUCAUUCAAACGUGUCGUUCAUUCAAACUAUAAAAGAAGGAGAGAAAAAAGAUAAAAAAAAUCAAAGUUAUUCUUAUUCUCUGCUGCUCUUUAUUUACUUAU